GACGAACGCUGGCGGCGUGCCUAAUACAUGCAAGUCGAGCGCAGGAAGCUGACGGAACUCUUCGGAGGGAAGGCAGCGGAAUGAGCGGCGGACGGGUGAGUAACACGUAAGGAACCUGCCUCAAGGAUUGGGAUAACUCCGAGAAAUCGGAGCUAAUACCAGAUAGUUCAACGGACCGCAUGGUCCGCUGAUGAAAGGCGCUCCGGCGUCACCUUGAGAGGGCCUUGCGGUGCAUUAGCUAGUUGGUGGGGUAACGGCCCACCAAGGCGACGAUGCAUAGCCGACCUGAGAGGGUGAUCGGCCACACUGGGACUGAGACACGGCCCAGACUCCUACGGGAGGCAGCAGUAGGGAAUCUUCCACAAUGGACGAAAGUCUGAUGGAGCAACGCCGCGUGAGUGAUGAAGGUUUUCGGAUCGUAAAACUCUGUUGUAAGGGAAGAACACGUACGAGAGGAAAUGCUCGUACCUUGACGGUACCUUACGAGAAAGCCACGGCUAACUACGUGCCAGCAGCCGCCGUAA
rnacentral:rRNA from 1 species